GACGAACGCUGGCGGCGUGCUUAACACAUGCAAGUGGUGCGACGAACCAGGCUUCGGCCUGGGGCGAAGCCGCGAGCGGGUGAGUAACACGUGGGCAAUCUGCCCCGUUGAGCGGGGCAACCCGGGGAAACCCGGGCUAAUACCGAAUGAGGUGGCGACUCAUGAGAGUCGUCACGAAAGGCAGCUUCCGCCUCCGCGAAGGGAUGAGCCCGCGGCCCAUUAGCUUGUUGGUGGGGUAAUGGCCUACCAAGGCAACGAUGGGUAGCUGGUCUGAGAGGACGAUCAGCCACACUGGGACGGAGACACGGCCCAGACUCCUACGGGAGGCUGCAGUGGGGAAUCUUGCGCAAUGAGCGACAGCUUGACGCAGCAACGCCGCGUGAGGGAAGAAGGCUUUCGGGUCGUAAACCUCUUUCAGUUAGGACGAAGCUUUAUUGGUUAAUAACCAAUUGGAGUGACGGUACUUUCAGAAGAAGCCCCGGCUAACUACGUGCCAGCAGCCGCAGUAA
rnacentral:rRNA from 1 species